rnacentral:rRNA from 1 species
GACGUAGGAGGCGAGCGUUAUCCGGAUUUAUUGGGCGUAAAGGGCGUGUAGGCGGUUCUUUAAGUCUAUGGUGAAAUCUCCCGGCUUAACUGGGAGGAUGCCAAAGAAACUGGAGGACUUGAGGGCAGCAGAGGGAAGUGGAAUUCCCGGUGUAGUGGUGAUAUGCGUAGAUAUCGGGAGGAACACCAGUGGCGAAGGCGGCUUUCUGGGCUGUACCUGACGCUGAGGCGCGAAAGCGUGGGGAGCAAACAGG